rnacentral:rRNA from 1 species
UACGAAGGGGGCUAGCGUUGUUCGGAAUUACUGGGCGUAAAGGGCGCGUAGGCGGCCGCCUAAGUCAGACGUGAAAUCCCUCGGCUCAACCGGGGAACUGCGUCUGAUACUGGGUGGCUUGAAUCCGGGAGAGGGAUGUGGAAUUCCAGGUGUAGCGGUGAAAUGCGUAGAUAUCUGGAGGAACACCGGUGGCGAAGGCGGCAUCCUGGACCGGUAUUGACGCUGAGGCGCGAAAGCCAGGGGAGCAAACGGG